rnacentral:tRNA from 1 species
CGCCAAGUGGUAAGGCAGUGGUUUUUGGUACCGCUAUGCGCUGGUUCGAAUCCAGCAGGGG